UGCGUCACCAAAAGGAUCAAUAUAGUGACGAAAUUGCGUCACUAACUGGAACCGGUGACGCAGUUUCGUCACCAAUAUAGGUGACGCAAUUUCGUCACCCCACUAGCGAAACGUCACCUCUGCCGUUACUUGUCGUACACGUGGCACGUAUGGUGACGCAAGUUCGUCACUAUUUAUCUGGGUGACGCAACAGCGUCACUAAUAGCGUCUUUUUUGGUGACGAUAUUGCGUCACCCCUAUGGGUAUAUAUACGGCGUGACGCAAUUGCGUCAAUCCCACAAACAGACGCCCUCCCCUCUCUCCUCAAGCGCCUUCGGUAAAGAUGAGUCGUUCUUUCGGAAGGGGAUCACGGUUAUCAGGCGAAAGAUCUCAACAUCAGAGAUCUCCGUCAAUUGAUAUGGCCGAAUCUCAACCGCAACCACCAACGCAGGUUACAAUUGAUAACGUGGCUGAGGUAUUAGAUAAUCCUGCAAGAAUUUUGUUACCGAAACUGGAUCCGAUAAAAAAUCCAGGAACAAAAUGGUUUGGUGUUGAUGUUGAGAUAACCACCAAUUUAUCAAAAUUCAUCAAACAGAAUUUUAAAGGUGCUUAUCUUAAUUGGAGUACGAUCCCACAACCUACCAAAGAUUCGUGGUGGUUAAGUUUUGUGCAACAAUGGCGUUGGGAUCCUGAGCAUGACGCACUUGUUCGGCGCAAGUGGAAGGAGGCUGUAAUUCGUCUAGUGAAAGCCAGAGUUCACAAACUCAAACAAAAAUGGCUU